UUAAGCGACUAAGCGUACACGGUGGAUGCCCUGGCAGUCAGAGGCGAUGAAGGACGUGCUAAUCUGCGAUAAGCGUCGGUAAGGUGAUAUGAACCGUUAUAACCGGCGAUUUCCGAAUGGGGAAACCCAGUGUGAUUCGUCACACUAUCAUUAACUGAAUCCAUAGGUUAAUGAGGCGAACCGGGGGAACUGAAACAUCUAAGUACCCCGAGGAAAAGAAAUCAACCGAGAUUCCCCCAGUAGCGGCGAGCGAACGGGGAGGAGCCCAGAGCCUGAAUCAGUGUGUGUGUUAGUGGAAGCGUCUGGAAAGGCGCGCGAUACAGGGUGACAGCCCCGUACACAAAAAUGCACAUGCUGUGAGCUCGAUGAGUAGGGCGGGACACGUGGUAUCCUGUCUGAAUAUGGGGGGACCAUCCUCCAAGGCUAAAUACUCCUGACUGACCGAUAGUGAACCAGUACCGUGAGGGAAAGGCGAAAAGAACCCCGGCGAGGGGAGUGAAAAAGAACCUGAAACCGUGUACGUACAAGCAGUGGGAGCCUCUUUAUGGGGUGACUGCGUACCUUUUGUAUAAUGGGUCAGCGACUUAUAUUCUGUAGCAAGGUUAACCGAAUAGGGGAGCCGAAGGGAAACCGAGUCUUAACUGGGCGUUAAGUUGCAGGGUAUAGACCCGAAACCCGGUGAUCUAGCCAUGGGCAGGUUGAAGGUUGGGUAACACUAACUGGAGGACCGAACCGACUAAUGUUGAAAAAUUAGCGGAUGACUUGUGGCUGGGGGUGAAAGGCCAAUCAAACCGGGAGAUAGCUGGUUCUCCCCGAAAGCUAUUUAGGUAGCGCCUCGUGAACUCAUCUCCGGGGGUAGAGCACUGUUUCGGCAAGGGGGUCAUCCCGACUUACCAACCCGAUGCAAACUGCGAAUACCGGAGAAUGUUAUCACGGGAGACACACGGCGGGUGCUAACGUCCGUCGUGAAGAGGGAAACAACCCAGACCGCCAGCUAAGGUCCCAAAGUCAUGGUUAAGUGGGAAACGAUGUGGGAAGGCCCAGACAGCCAGGAUGUUGGCUUAGAAGCAGCCAUCAUUUAAAGAAAGCGUAAUAGCUCACUGGUCGAGUCGGCCUGCGCGGAAGAUGUAACGGGGCUAAACCAUGCACCGAAGCUGCGGCAGCGACGCUUAUGCGUUGUUGGGUAGGGGAGCGUUCUGUAAGCCUGUGAAGGUGGCCUGUGAGGGUUGCUGGAGGUAUCAGAAGUGCGAAUGCUGACAUAAGUAACGAUAAAGCGGGUGAAAAGCCCGCUCGCCGGAAGACCAAGGGUUCCUGUCCAACGUUAAUCGGGGCAGGGUGAGUCGACCCCUAAGGCGAGGCCGAAAGGCGUAGUCGAUGGGAAACAGGUUAAUAUUCCUGUACUUGGUGUUACUGCGAAGGGGGGACGGAGAAGGCUAUGUUGGCCGGGCGACGGUUGUCCCGGUUUAAGCGUGUAGGCUGGUUUUCCAGGCAAAUCCGGAAAAUCAAGGCUGAGGCGUGAUGACGAGGCACUACGGUGCUGAAGCAACAAAUGCCCUGCUUCCAGGAAAAGCCUCUAAGCAUCAGGUAACAUCAAAUCGUACCCCAAACCGACACAGGUGGUCAGGUAGAGAAUACCAAGGCGCUUGAGAGAACUCGGGUGAAGGAACUAGGCAAAAUGGUGCCGUAACUUCGGGAGAAGGCACGCUGAUAUGUAGGUGAAGUGCCUUGCUGGUGGAGCUGAAAUCAGUCGAAGAUACCAGCUGGCUGCAACUGUUUAUUAAAAACACAGCACUGUGCAAACACGAAAGUGGACGUAUACGGUGUGACGCCUGCCCGGUGCCGGAAGGUUAAUUGAUGGGGUUAGCGGUAACGCGAAGCUCUUGAUCGAAGCCCCGGUAAACGGCGGCCGUAACUAUAACGGUCCUAAGGUAGCGAAAUUCCUUGUCGGGUAAGUUCCGACCUGCACGAAUGGCGUAAUGAUGGCCAGGCUGUCUCCACCCGAGACUCAGUGAAAUUGAACUCGCUGUGAAGAUGCAGUGUACCCGCGGCAAGACGGAAAGACCCCGUGAACCUUUACUAUAGCUUGACACUGAACAUUGAGCCUUGAUGUGUAGGAUAGGUGGGAGGCUUUGAAGUGUGGACGCCAGUCUGCAUGGAGCCGACCUUGAAAUACCACCCUUUAAUGUUUGAUGUUCUAACGUUGGCCCGUAAUCCGGGUUGCGGACAGUGUCUGGUGGGUAGUUUGACUGGGGCGGUCUCCUCCUAAAGAGUAACGGAGGAGCACGAAGGUUGGCUAAUCCUGGUCGGACAUCAGGAGGUUAGUGCAAUGGCAUAAGCCAGCUUGACUGCGAGCGUGACGGCGCGAGCAGGUGCGAAAGCAGGUCAUAGUGAUCCGGUGGUUCUGAAUGGAAGGGCCAUCGCUCAACGGAUAAAAGGUACUCCGGGGAUAACAGGCUGAUACCGCCCAAGAGUUCAUAUCGACGGCGGUGUUUGGCACCUCGAUGUCGGCUCAUCACAUCCUGGGGCUGAAGUAGGUCCCAAGGGUAUGGCUGUUCGCCAUUUAAAGUGGUACGCGAGCUGGGUUUAGAACGUCGUGAGACAGUUCGGUCCCUAUCUGCCGUGGGCGCUGGAGAACUGAGGGGGGCUGCUCCUAGUACGAGAGGACCGGAGUGGACGCAUCACUGGUGUUCGGGUUGUCAUGCCAAUGGCACUGCCCGGUAGCUAAAUGCGGAAGAGAUAAGUGCUGAAAGCAUCUAAGCACGAAACUUGCCCCGAGAUGAGUUCUCCCUGACCCUUUAAGGGUCCUGAAGGAACGUUGAAGACGACGACGUUGAUAGGCCGGGUGUGUAAGCGCAGCGAUGCGUUGAGCUAACCGGUACUAAUGAACCGUGAG
rnacentral:rRNA from 2 species